rnacentral:rRNA from 1 species
UACGUAGGGGGCAAGCGUUGUCCGGAAUUAUUGGGCGUAAAGAGCGUGUAGGCGGCCAGAUAAGUCCGCUGUGAAAUCUCGAGGCUCAACUUCGAGCUGUCGGUGGAAACUGUCUGGCUAGAGUCCGGAAGAGGAGAAUGGAAUUCCUGGUGUAGCGGUGAAAUGCGCAGAUAUCAGGAAGAACACCCGGUGGCGAAGGCGGUUCUCUGGGGACGGGUACUGACGCUGAGACGCGAAAAGCGUGGGGGAGCGAACAGG